UACGGGGGGGGCAAGCGUUGUUCCGAAUUACUGGGCGUAAAGGGCUCGUAGGCGGCCAACUAAGUCAGACGUGAAAUCCCUCGGCUUAACCGGGGAACUGCGUCUGAUACUGGAUGGCUUGAGUUUGGGAGAGGGAUGCGGAAUUCCAGGUGUAGCGGUGAAAUGCGUAGAUAUCUGGAGGAACACCGGUGGCGAAGGCGGCGUCCUGGACCAACACUGACACUGAGGAGCGAAAGCCAGGGGAGCAAACGGG
rnacentral:rRNA from 1 species